UACGGGAGGCAGCAGUGGGGAAUAUUGCACAAUGGGCGCAAGCCUGAUGCAGCCAUGCCGCGUGUAUGAAGAAGGCCUUCGGGUUGUAAAGUACUUUCAGUCGUGAGGAAGGUGUUAAGGUUAAUAACCUUAGCAAUUGACGUUAGCGACAGAAGAAGCACCGGCUAACUCCGUGCCAGCAGCCGCGGUAAUACGGAGGGUGCGAGCGUUAAUCGGAAUUACUGGGCGUAAAGGGCACGCAGGCGGUUAAUUAAGUUGGAUGUGAAAUCCCCGGGCUUAACCUGGGAAUGGCAUUCAAGACUGGUUAGCUAGAGUCUUGUAGAGGGGGUAGAAUUCCAUGUGUAGCGGUGAAAUGCGUAGAGAUGUGGAGGAAUACCGGUGGCGAAGGCGGCCCCUGGCAAAAGACUGACGCUCAUGUGCGAAAGCGUGGGGAGCAAAACAGGGAUUUAGAUACC
rnacentral:rRNA from 1 species